rnacentral:rRNA from 1 species
CAGUCGCCACGGUAAUACAGAGGAUGCAAGCGUUAUCCGGAAUGAUUGGGCGUAAAGGGCGCGUAGGCGGCCAUUCAAGUUAGAUGUGAAAGCCCUGGGCUCAACCUAGGAAUUGCAUUUGAUACUGUUUGGCUUGAGUUCGGGAGAGGUGAGUGGAAUUCCCAGUGUAGAGGUGAAAUUCGUAGAUAUUGGGAAGAACACCAGUGGCGAAGGCGGCGACCUGGUCCUUGACUGACGCUGAGGCGCGAAAGCGUGGGGAGCAAACAGGAUUAGAUACCCCCGUAGUCCCUGUCUCUUAUAC